GGCUAAAUCACUUUGAAACACCUGUUCCCAUAUGAUCACUGAAGUUAAGCAGCAUCAAGACUGGUCAGUACCUAGAUGGGUGACUAGUUCAGAAUACCAGGUGCUGUAA